rnacentral:rRNA from 1 species
UGAAUACGAGAUGCUACGGCGUCGAAGCAGUGUAUGUCAGACUUCCAAGAAAAGCUCGCAAUGUCAUAAAUAAAGAAUGCCUGUACCAUAACCGACACAGGUGGGCAGGUAGAGUAUACUAAGGGGCGCGAGAUAACUCUCUCUAAGGAACUCGGCAAAAUAACUCCGUAACUUCGGGAGAAGGAGUGCCUUCUUUAAGAAGGUUGCAAUAACAAGAUCCAAGCAACUGUUUAUCAAAAACACAGGUCUCCGCUAAGUCGUAAGACGAUGUAUGGGGGCUGACGCCUGCCCAGUGCCAGAAGGUUAAAGAAGUUGGUUAGCUUUUGCGAAGCUGAUGACUGAAGCCCUGGUGAACGGCGGCCGUAACAAUAACGGUCCUAAGGUAGCGAAAUUCCUUGUCGGGUAAGUUCCGACCCGCACGAAAGGCGUAAUGAUUUGGAUACUGUCUCGGAGAGGGACUCGGUGAAAUAGACUUGUCUGUGAAGAUGCGGACUACCUGCACCAGGACAGAAAGACCCUAUGAAGCUUUACUGUAACUUGAAAUUGAAAUUGGACUUUAUUUGCGCAGUAUAGGUGGAAGGCGUUGAAAGUAAUCUUGCGGGAUUAGUGGAGCCAUCAGUGAGAUACCACUCCUAUAAUGUUAGAUUUCUAACUUUGGAUCAUGAUCUGGUCAAAGAACAGUUUCAGGCGGGCAGUUUGACUGGGGCGGUCGCCUCCCAAAUGGUAACGGAGGCGUACAAAGGUUUCCUCUGAACGGGUAGAAAUCGUAUCUAGAGUGUAAAGGCAUAAGGAAGCUUGACUGUGAGACCUACAAGUCGAGCAGGGACGAAAGUCGGUCUUAGUGAUCUGACGGUGCUGAGUGGAAAGGCCGUCACUCAACGGAUAAAAGUUACUCUAAGGAUAACAGGCUGAUCUCCCCCAAGAGUUCACAUCGACGGGGAGGUUUGGCACCUCGAUGUCGGCUCAUCGCAUCCUGGGGCGGUAGUACGUCCCAAGGGUUGGGCUGUUCGCCCAUGAAAGCGGUACGCGAGCUGGGUUCAGAACGUCGUGAGACAGUUCGGUCCAUAUCCGGUGUAGGCGUUAGAAUAUUGAGAGGAGCCUUCUUUAGUACGAGAGGACCGAGAAGGACAUACCUCUGGUGUACCAGUUAUCGUGCCAACGGUAAACGCUGGGUAGCUAUGUAUGGAGAGGAUAACCGCUGAAAGCAUCUAAGUGGGAAGCCCACCUCAAGAUGAGUAUUCUCAU